rnacentral:ribozyme from 1 species
GUCUCUUCUUUUCUUGUCUCGUUGUUGUUUGUAUGGUGACUAUUAGGAAGAGGAGGAGGAUUAAAAAUGACAUGUCACUCGCUUGUAUUCACAAGACAUUAUGACACCACAC